rnacentral:rRNA from 1 species
AUUGAACGCUGGCGGCAUGCUUUACACAUGCAAGUCGAACGGCAGCGCGGGCUUCGGCCUGGCGGCGAGUGGCGAACGGGUGAGUAAUGCAUCGGAACGUGCCCAGUAGUGGGGGAUAGCCCGGCGAAAGCCGGAUUAAUACCGCAUACGACCUGAGGGUGAAAGCGGGGGACCGAAAGGCCUCGCGCUAUUGGAGCGGCCGAUGUCGGAUUAGCUAGUUGGUGGGGUAAAGGCUUACCAAGGCGACGAUCCGUAGCUGGUCUGAGAGGACGACCAGCCACACUGGGACUGAGACACGGCCCAGACACCUACGGGAGGCAGCAGUGGGGAAUUUUGGACAAUGGGGGCAACCCUGAUCCAGCCAUGCCGCGUGCGGGAAGAAGGCCUUCGGGUUGUAAACCGCUUUUGUUCGGGAAGAAAUCCUCUGGGCUAAUACCCCGGGGGGAUGACGGUACCGGAAGAAUAAGCACCGGCUAACUACGUG